GUGCUCGCUUUGGCAGCACAUAUACUAAAAGCGGAACAAUACAGAGAAGAUUAGCAUGGCCCCUGUGCAAGGAUGACAUGCAUAUUCAUGAAGUGUUCCAUAUUUCA
rnacentral:snRNA from 1 species